rnacentral:rRNA from 1 species
UCGGGAAUUUUGGGCAAUGGGCGAAAGCCUGACCCAGCAACGCCGCGUGAAGGAUGAAGUAUUUCGGUAUGUAAACUUCGAAAGAAUAGGAAGAAUAAAUGACGGUACUAUUUAUAAGGUCCGGCUAACUACGUGCCAGCAGCCGCGGUAAUACGUAGGGACCAAGCGUUGUUCGGAUUUACUGGGCGUAAAGGGCGCGUAGGCGGCGUGGUAAGUCACUUGUGAAAUCUCCGAGCUUAACUCGGAACGGUCAAGUGAUACUGCUGUGCUAGAGUACAGAAGGGGCAAUCGGAAUUCUUGGUGUAGCGGUGAAAUGCGUAGAUAUCAAGAGGAACACCUGAGGUGAAGACGGGUUGCUGGGCUGAUACUGACGCUGAGGCGCGAAAGCUAGGGUAGCAAACGGGAUUAGAUACCCCCGUAGUCCCUGAGCGGGCUGGCAAGGCGCAU